rnacentral:rRNA from 1 species
CCUACGGGAGGCAGCAGUGAGGAAUAUUGGUCAAUGGGCUUACGCCUGAACCAGCCAAGUCGCGUGAGGGAAGACUGCCCUAUGGGUUGUAAACCUCUUUUGUCAGGGAGCAAGUGGCGCUACGUGUAGCGUUAUCGAGAGGACCUGAAGAAAAAGCAUCGGCGAACUCCGUGCCAGCAGCCGCGGUAAUACGGAGGAUGCGAGCGUGAUCCGGAUUUAUUGGGUUUAAAGGGUGCGUAGGCGGAAUGCCAAGUCAGCGGUAAAAUCGCGGGGCUCCACCUCGCUCCGCCGUUGAAACUGGCGUUCUUGAGUGGGCGAGACGUAUGCGGAAUGCGUGGUGUAGCGGU